rnacentral:rRNA from 1 species
CGAAGCUACAGCUUACCAUGCAAGUCGAGGGGCAGCAUGCAGGUAGCUUGCUAUCUGUGAUGGCGACCGGCGCACGGGUGAGUAACGCGUAUCCAACCUUCCCCGUAGUAGGGCACAGCCCGGCGAAAGUCGGAUUAAUUCCCUAUGUUCUUGACAGCAGACAUCUAACGUCAAGCAAAGAUUCAUCGCUAUGGGAUGGGGAUGCGUCUGAUUAGGUUGUCGGCGGGGUAACGGCCCACCGAGUCUGCGAUCAGUAGGGGUUCUGAGAGGAAGGUCCCCCACAUUGGAACUGAGACACGGUCCAAACUCCUACGGGAGGCAGCAGUGAGGAAUAUUGGUCAAUGGAGGCAACUCUGAACCAGCCAAGUAGCGUGCAGGACGACGGCCCUAUGGGUUGUAAACUGCUUUUAUAAGGGGAUAAAGGAUGCCACGUGUGGUGUUUUGCAUGUACCUUAUGAAUAAGGACCGGCUAAUUCCGUGCCAGCAGCCGCGGUAAU